UGACAAGGAAGUUUUGCAACCUAAUUUACAGCUGGAGCCAAGCUUGUCAGUGAGUGCCAGAGGGAAACUGUCGCAAUUGGCUGGCUAAGUAUGUUCAUUUAACAAGGGUCUCUGAAGAGCUAUCAAAAACUGCUUGCCAUCUUUCCAAAUCAUCUCUGUCUGCAGUGACCAUGUCUUAAUCCUGAAGGAAAACAAGACAUGGUAAUUAGAAACCAGGAAGACUGAGAAAGAAUCAGAUGUGCAGCAGCUCAGUAAGUGGUAGACCUGGAACAAGAAGCCAGUUUUCUGAGCUCCUGAAGCAAGGCCCCGCCUCCCACUUUGUCUUUCCCCAGGAGAGGAGGUAU